ACUGAUAUAAUUUAAAAAGAAUAUUGCAUUGAAGCUGCAAAAGUGGGUGUGAGCUCUGUAAGUA
rnacentral:tRNA from 1 species